rnacentral:rRNA from 1 species
UACGAAGGGGGCUAGCGUUGCUCGGAAUCACUGGGCGUAAAGGGUGCGUAGGCGGGGAUUUAAGGCAGGGGGGAAAUCCUGGAGCUCAACUCCAGAACUGCCCUUGAUACUGAAGGUCUUGAGUUCGGGAGAGGUGAGUGGAACUGCGAGUGUAGAGGUGAAAUUCGUAGAUAUUCGCAAGAACACCAGUGGCGAAGGCGGCUCACUGGCCCGAUACUGACGCUGAUGCACGAAAGCGUGGGGAGCAAACGGG